UACAGAGGUCCCAAGCGUUGUUCGGAUUCAUUGGGCGUAAAGGGUGUGUAGGUGGCGCGCUAAGUCGGGUGUGAAAUUUCGGAGCUUAACUCCGAAACUGCAUUCGAUACUGGCGUGCUUGAGGACUGGAGAGGAGACUGGAAUUUACGGUGUAGCAGUGAAAUGCGUAGAUAUCGUAAGGAAGACCAGUGGCGAAGGCGGGUCUCUGGGCCGAUACUGACGCUGAGGAGCGAAAGCGUGGGGAGCGAACGG
rnacentral:rRNA from 1 species